rnacentral:rRNA from 1 species
AGUGAAUAGAUACCCAGGUAGUCCACGCCGUAAACUAUGGAUGCUAGCUGUAUUCGGUAUCGACCCCGAAAUGUGGCGAAAGCUAACGCGUUAAGCAUCCCGCCUGUGGAGUACGGUCGCAAGACUAAAACAUAAAGGAAUUGACGGGGACCCGCACAAGCGGUGGAGCGUGUUGUUUAAUUCGAUACUAAACGAAGAACCUUACCAGGGUUUGACAUCUCGGGAAGGUCUCUGAAAGGAGACUGUGCCAUUUGGAACCCGAUGACAGGUGUUGCAUGGCCGUCGUCAGCUCGUGUCGUGAGAUGUUUGGUUAAGUCCAUCAACGAGCGCAACCCUUAUAGUCAGUUGAAUUUUCUGGCUAGACUGCCCCGGCAACGGGGAGGAAGGAGGGGAUGAUGUCAGGUCAGUAUUACCCUUACACCCUGGGCUACAGACACGCUACAAUGGCCGGUACAAAGGGCAGCUAAGUCGCGAGACGGAGCAAAUCCCAUCAAAGCCGGUCUCAGUUCGGAUUGCAGGCUGAAACCCGCCUGC